rnacentral:rRNA from 1 species
ACACAUGCAAGUCGAACGAGAGAGAAGGAGCUUGCUUCUUCGAUCGAGUGGCGAACGGGUGAGUAACGCGUGAGGAACCUGCCUCAAAGAGGGGGACAACAGUUGGAAACGACUGCUAAUACCGCAUAAGCCCACGGGUCGGCAUCGAUCUGAGGGAAAAGGAGCAAUCCGCUUUGAGAUGGCCUCGCGUCCGAUUAGCUAGUUGGUGAGGUAACGGCCCACCAAGGCGACGAUCGGUAGCCGGACUGAGAGGUUGAACGGCCACAUUGGGACUGAGACACGGCCCAGACUCCUACGGGAGGCAGCAGUGGGGAAUAUUGCACAAUGGGGGAAACCCUGAUGCAGCGACGCCGCGUGGAGGAAGAAGGUCUUCGGAUUGUAAACUCCUGUUGUUGAGGAAGAUAAUGACGGUACUCAACAAGGAAGUGACGGCUAACUACGUGCCAGCAGCCGCGGUAAAACGUAGGUCACAAGCGUUGUCCGGAAUUACUGGGUGUAAAGGGAGCGCAGGCGGGAAGACAAGUUGGAAGUGAAAUCUAUGGGCUCAACCCAUAAACUGCUUUCAAAACUGUUUUUCUUGAGUAGUGCAGAGGUAGGCGGAAUUCCCGGUGUAGCGGUGGAAUGCGUAGAUAUCGGGAGGAACACCAGUGGCGAAGGCGGCCUACUGGGCACCAACUGACGCUGAGGCUCGAAAGUGUGGGUAGCAAACAGGAUUAGAUACCCUGGUAGUCCACACCGUAAACGAUGAUUACUAGGUGUUGGAGGAUUGACCCCUUCAGUGCCGCAGUUAACACAAUAAGUAAUCCACCUGGGGAGUACGACCGCA